CCCGGGUUCACGUGAUUCUCCUGCCUCAGCUUCCCGAGAAGCUGGGACUACAGGCGUCCGCCAUCAUGCCCGGCUAAUUUUUAUAUUUUUAGUAGAGAUAGGGUUUCACCAGGUUGGCAAGGCUGGUUUCAAACUCCUGACACCAAGUGAUCCGCCUCGGUCCCCCAAAGUGCUUGGAUUAUUGGCAUGAGCCACCGCGCCUGGCCUGAACUUGGCUUUCUAAACUCCGUUUUGUGUUUCUGGUAUUUGGACUAUGGAAACUUCAGUUUCUCAUUUGACAGCUGGUUCCUUGCGAUGUUCUACCGACAGGGAGACAUAGAAAGAGAUGGAAAGAUGAAAAAGAAAAGACAUGCCCUGUUUGUUUGUUAUGCUUGUCAACAUUGCCUCUGCAAUAUCCCUUCAACUUUUUACUAAUUCCGAUUCUAGCUUUUUUCGUAUUCUCGGCACCAGCUGGACAAUGCCAUCGCCAUCCCCCCAGAGGUUUUACCUGUCUCCUGUUCUCAUUGCUUCUGGAUCAAUAAUUAAGAUUGACUCUACAUGGCCCAAAUGAAGAAAUGAAAGGAAAUGGAUCAUUCACCAAAGGAUCUGCAGAACUUUGCUAAUAUUUACCAGAAGUAACCAGUAGGAUAUUCAACAACAUGGAUGCACCUGAAGGCGAAUAUCCUAAGUGAGAUAACUCAGAAACAGAAAAUCAAAUACAGAUUGUUCUCACUUAUAAAAGGGAGCUAAUCAAUGGGUACACGUAGACAUAAAGAUGAAAACAACAGACACUGGGGACUCCAAAAGUGGGGAUGGUGGAGUGGGGGUGAUGACUGAAAAAUUACUUAUUACUGAGUACUAUGUUCACUAUUUGUGUGAUGGGUUCACUAGAAACACAAAACCUUGCAUUAUGCAAUAUACCCGUGUAACAAAUCUGCACAAGUACCCCUGAAUCUACAAUAUAA
rnacentral:lncRNA from 10 species